UAACUCAGUUGGUAGAGUGCUUGCCUUGCAUGCAUGAGGCCCUAGGUUCAAUCCCCAG
rnacentral:tRNA from 1 species